rnacentral:rRNA from 1 species
UAAAGCAAGAAAGGGCGUAUGGGGAAUGCCUAGGCACACUCCGGCGAAGAAGGACGCAGCAAACAGCGAAAUGCGACGGUGAGCGGUAAGCACGUGAAGAGCCGUCGAUAUCCGAAUGGGGGAACCCACACGGAGUCAUAUCCGUGUAUCACAUGUCGAAUACAUAGACAUGAUGAGGCGAGACGCAGGGAACUGAAACAUCUAAGUACCUGCAGGAAGAGAAAAUAAGAAUGAUUUUCUGAGUAGCGGCGAGCGAAAGGGAAAGAGCCCAAACCGAUUUGAGGAUCGGGGUAGUAGGAUCAUCGAUAAAUCUGACAGAGGAUCAUAGAGGAAUCACAUGGGAAGGUGAGCGAGAGAGGGUGAGAGCCCCGUACUCGAAAUGAGAGACUGGAGAGAGAUGACACCUGAGUAGGGCGGGACACGAGAAAUCCUGUCUGAAUCAGCCGGGACCAUCCGGCAAGGCUAAAUACGAGAGAGUGACCGAUAGUGAACCAGUACCGUGAGGGAAAGGUGAAAAGAACCCCGGGAGGGGAGUGAAAGAGAACCUGAAACCAUAUGCCUACAAGAAGUCAGAGCCCGUUAAAGGGUGAUGGCGUGCCUUUUGUAGAAUGAACCGGCGAGUUACUGUAUGGAGCGAGGUUAAGCAGGAUAUGCGGAGCCGAAGCGAAAGCGAGUCUUAAGAGGGCGAGAGUUGCAUGCAGUAGACCCGAAACCGGGUGAUCUAGCCAUGACCAGGUUGAAGUUGGGGUAAAACCCGAUGGAGGACCGAACCGACCCCCGUUGAAACGUUGGCGGAUGAGUUGUGGCUAGGGGUGAAAUUCCAAUCGAACCCGGAGAUAGCUGGUUCUCCCCGAAAUAGCUUUAGGGCUAGCGUCGAGGUAAGUUGCGUGAAGGUAGAGCACUGAAUAUGUGAUGGCCCCAUCUCGGGGUACUGAGCAUAAUCAAACUGCGAAUGUCACGCCAACAUGCUCGGCAGUCAGACAGCGGGUGAUAAGGUCCGUUGUCAAGAGGGAAACAGCCCAGACCAUCAGCUAAGGUCCCAAAAUGUAUGCUAAGUGGAAAAGGAUGUGGAGAUGUACAGACAACUAGGAGGUUGGCUCAGAAGCAGCCAUCCUUUAAAGAGUGCGUAACAGCUCACUAGUCGAGUGACCCUGCGCCGAAAAUGUACCGGGGCUAAGCCUGAUACCGAAACUGCGGAUUGUAGGAAACUAUAGUGGUAGGGGAGCGUUGUAUACGAGUAGAAGCCGUACCGUGAGGAGCGGUGGAUUGUAUAGAAGUGAGAAUGCCGGUGUGAGUAGCGAGAUGUAGGUGAGAAUCCUACACACCGAAAGCCCAAGGAUUCCAGGGGAAGGUUCGUCCGCCCUGGGUAAGUCGGGACCUAACGCGAGGCCGAAAGGCGUAGUGGAUGGAAAGCAGGCGAAAGAUUCCUGCACCCGUAUAUGGAGCGAAGGAGUGACGGAGACGGAUAGUGUGACCCUCUUAAUGGAUUGAGGGCGAAGCGAAGCGGCUGGUUACCAGGCAAAUCCGGUAACCAUAAGGCUAGAGCGUGAUAGGUAAGCGAAAUCUUCGGAAAGUAGCGAAGCACAUGAUGACGGCUUCCAGGAAAAGCUUCUGGCAAUGCAUAUGCGGCCCGUACCAAAACCGACACAGGUGGGCAGGGAGAGAAUCCCGAGGUGAGCGAGAGAACUGUUGCCAAGGAACUCGGCAAAAUGACUCCGUAAGUUAGCGAGAAGGAGUGCUUAAGCAAUUAAGCCGCAGUGAAGAGGCCCAAGCGACUGUUUAACUAAAACACAGCUCUCUGCGAAGUCGCAAGACGAAGUAUAGGGGGUGACACCUGCCCGGUGCUGGAAGGUUAAGAGGAUCUGUUAAGAGCGAUCUGAAGCAGUGAUCCGAAGCCCCAGUGAACGGCGGCCGUAACUAUAACGGUCCUAAGGUAGCGAAAUUCCUUGUCAGGUAAG